UAAUAAGAAGCAAUUAUUGCAUUUAGUUUCGACCUAAAAAUUUGAUAAAUUUUAUCCUUAUUAA
rnacentral:tRNA from 1 species